rnacentral:rRNA from 1 species
AGAGUUUGAUCCUGGCUCAGAACGAACGCUGGCGGCGUGCCUAACACAUGCAAGUCGAGGGAGAAAGCCCGCAAGGGUUAGUAAACCGGCGAACGGGUGCGUAACACGUGGAUAAUCUACCUUCCUGACUGGGACAACUGGCCGAAAGGCUUGCUAAUACCAGAUAAGACCACGGCGUCUUCGGACACUGAGGGAAAAGG